rnacentral:tRNA from 1 species
GUGGCUUAGUGGAUAGAGUGCCAGGCCUGGAAACAGGAAGUCCUGGGUUCAAAUCCCAGC